AUGAAAAUAGUAGAUGUGUUUUAUGUUAAAUGUAGACUUGAAAAUUUUACCUUCGGUUAGUUCAAUCUCAAUCACAAUUUUGAUUUCUAGAAAGUCUACUUUUCUUUAAUUUCCCUUAUGUUAAUGGUAGAGAUUUGUAAUAAAAACAGUAGAUGUAUCUUAUGUUAAAUGUAGAGUUGCAAAUUUUACCUUGGGUUGAUUCAAUCUGAAGAACAAUUUUGAUUUAUUGAAAGUCUACUUUUCUAAUGAAAACAGUAGAUUUGUCUUAUGUUAAAUGUGUCUUUCAACUUGCAACAUUUUCUGUGAUAUUUUUCAUGACAGUAGUAGAUGUUUCUUAUGAUAGUUGUAGACAAUCUCAAGAAUCAUUUUGAUUUCCAGAAAGUCUACUUUUGUGUGAUUUUGCUCAUCUGAAUUGUAGAUAUUUCUAAUGAAAACUGUAGAUAUAGAGAGACUUAACGAAGAGUUAACGGUGUUAGUUUGCUUUAACCUGUUAUAGCAAGUCAAAACUGGUUAGGUAUCCAUAUCUUAAGGCACACAAGUGGAACCCUUAUGACAUGAGCCUAAAGCCCUUAGUUCAUACUUUCAUAGUACCAGGCCUGACUUUGAAAUUUAAUCUGAAAUUACCAAAACUGAUUAGCUUCUUAAAAAUUUACGCCACAUGCAACUCCCUUUCUCUCUUCACUCUUCCCUGAGAAUUAGAUCUCUCGUUUACCAAAAAAAAUAAAAAUCUGAUCUCUCUCUCUCUCN
rnacentral:lncRNA from 1 species